ACACCGGCCGCUGACAGCCAAACUCGCCAACUCCGCCCUCGUCCCCGCGGGAUCCCGGAGCCUGAGCCGGCCUGGGGCCGAGGCCGCCCGAACCGCGAGGCGAGCGAACAUGGCAGCAAAAUGAGGAGGCUGGCGCCGGGUCGUGGCCGCCGCUGCAGCGCUGCAGCUUGAGAUCCCCGUCCGGCGCGCUCCGGGCCGCAUCCUUAGCCGGCCUCCUGGCAGUCGCGGGAUUAUUUCAUUCCGAUCGGAGGGCUAGGGAUAAAGGAGACUCCCCAGCGGAGCGGGUCCGUGCCCAGACUCUGGGGCAGGGUGUAGACGUUUGUGUGUGCGAUUCGCCGGCUGCGCAAACGACGCGGGAGAGAGACGGUCCCGGGCUGCGGCGGCGCGGCCGCGGGGAUGAGCCGGCCAUGGAGCGGCCUUGGCGGGGCGCACGCAGCGGACUGGCGCUGCCGCGGGAGCGCCGCCUGAGCCGGGGCUCCAGGGGGCUUCGAAGCCUCCGGCGCCCUGAGGGGGUCCCUGUCGCCGACUCCGGGAAGGACGCAAACCCCGCGUGGCGGACACUGCCGCAGUCACCGUACUGAGGCGCCCCGAGCUUGCUCCGCCUGCAGCUCAGUGCGCGCUGGGCACCCGGGCGCCUUGCCCGGUGCACGGCGGCUGGCGCACAGCGGCUAGAUUGGCUGCAGGAGGCGGGUGCAGGACUAGCUGGAGGUGGGUGUGUGCGCGUGUUGGACUGGAGAUCCGAGUAGAAGCAGAACCAGCGGCUCUGAGCAGCCAUGCUUCCCGGGGUGGGCGUGUUCGGUACCAGCCUCACGGCCCGUGUCAUCAUCCCUUUGCUAAAAGACGAGGGCUUCGCGGUGAAGGCGCUGUGGGGCCGCACGCAGGAAGAAGCGGAGGAGCUGGCCAAGGAGAUGAGUGUCCCCUUCUACACUAGCCGCAUUGAUGAGGUGCUGCUGCAUCAGGACGUGGACUUGGUGUGCAUUAACCUGCCGCCGCCUCUCACCAGACAGAUCGCUGUCAAAACCCUAGGGUGCGACAGAGGACCUGCCCUUCAGCAGCUGUGGCGCCCUGUUGGGGUCGUUUGUUUCUUCCUGCUGUGAGUUAGUUUAGCGUGAGAUUGGAGGUGUGACCAUCGGCUGGAAUUAUUUCGUCUGCGCUGGAGUCCCAUUAAUGUUGUGAAAGCCACAUCCAUCUGUGUGAGCAAUCUUUAGGGAACUGGGACUGCUAGGUUCCAGCUUGUGGAGCUUGGAGGGAGAGGUGAGUGUGCAUUUGUGAGGGUGUGAGUGCGCACACACUACAGUGUGCUGCCCACGGAAUGUCUCUUGACUGUAGUCAAGGGCAAAGUAAUGGUUUUAGAGUACUUGUUAUUUAAAUGUGUCCCUGGCAGACUCUUCUCAUCUCCCACAUGAAUAUGAAUAAUCAAAAGUGGGUGGUGGAAAAUGAGAUGUGUUCCUCUUCUCUGUCUCUUCUCCCUUUCCAACAGAACCGGGACAUCGGAGGAAGAAAAUCAGCAGGCAGAACAAUAUUGGGGAAAAAACAAUGCCACGUGGUUCUGUUCAGCUGAGCUUCUGCUCCCUCCAGCACCCCCACAUGGGACAUUUGUUUACCCCCAGGAUGCUGCUCUUGGAGAGUCCCAGGGGACGGGUUUAAGCCCUUGGGGAUGCAGCCUGUCUAACUUAAUAUGCACAGCCGUUCACAUCCAGGGCACAGAGGCAGCCUGGCUUUCCCCGAAGGCCCACGGGGACCACAAUGCUGCAUUUGUCUGUGGAACUGAGAUUUAGCUGCAGGUUCUUGCCUGAAUGCAGCGGGCCUCCAGCCACAGCCUGCCGGCAUGGGGGAUUCCAGGAGGGAUGUGCUUCAUAAGCCGGCAUUUGCUCUUCUUUCCAGUCCCCAGACCCAGCCAAGAUUAUAGAUAGAUGUGCUCAUCACAUGCAGGUGCUGGGGAAGCCAGUGGGACAUCACUGGCUACAUCCACCAAUGGGAUUUUCCAACUUCAGUAUUUAUCGGUUUUUCAAACAAAUUCAUCAUCUGUAUUCCUUACCUAUUUACUGAGUGACUACAAUGUGUAAGGCAAUAUUCUCGGUCAUGGGGAGUUAGAAAAGGUCAAAUGCAUAUAAGAUAUGGCAUGUACUCUGAGAUAACUUGUAAUCUAUCCAGAACCUACUCAUCACAUUUGGAAAGAGAAGAGAAACUAGCAUUCUGUGGAGUACUUACUAUGUGCCAGAUCUGGAGUGAGGCAUAGUACAAGUGUUACUCAUUUACAUCUCAUGGCCAACCUCCAAUGUGGACAUUUAGCAUCUCCAUCUUACAAGUGAGAAACUUCACUGUAGAGAGAUUAAAUAUCACAUGUCAUUGAUUCUAUGACAUGUAUUAUUUUCACAUUUGAACACCUGAAAUAUAGAUAUGUCUAAAAGGGCUUUUCUUUCUUGAUAGUAAGAUAACUGUAGGUCUUUGCAGUGGUGUCUUAGAUCCUGUGAAAUAUGGUAUUUUGGCAAGUGUACACAGCUAAGAGCAAGUGGAAUCAGAAUUCUACUUAAGUUUGCCUGACUCCAAAGCUUGUGUGUUUUCCAGUAUAACGUGGUGCAGUAUCAAUGGUCUGUAUGAACAAAGGCCAUAUCAUUUUUAUUGACAAAGUAUAAAAAGGGGGAAAUGGUGACUGAACUGGAACUUGCAUCAUCUAAUUCCGUAACUGAGGAGGCAAUAGCCUGGGGACUGCAUGUAUCCCACAGGAUAUUAAAAAAUUGAGAAAAUGUUAUUUCAUGAUCUUUACUUCUCUGUUGAUUACAACUUAUUUUUGGGGAACAGGAUAGUCACAUGGCAUUAGAGUGGCAUCCAAUAGGUUUUUUU